AUUGAACGCUGGCGGCAGGCCUAACACAUGCAAGUCGAGCGGGGUUUUCGGACCUAGCGGCGGACGGGUGAGUAAUGCGUAGGAAGCUACCCGAUAGAGGGGGAUACCAGUUGGAAACGACUGUUAAUACCGCAUAAUGUCUACGGACCAAAGUGUGGGACCUUCGGGCCACAUGCUAUCGGAUGUGCCUACGUGGGAUUAGCUAGUUGGUGAGGUAAUGGCUCACCAAGGCGACGAUCCCUAGCUGGUUUGAGAGGAUGAUCAGCCACACUGGAACUGAGACACGGUCCAGACUCCUACGGGAGGCAGCAGUGGGGAAUAUUGGACAAUGGGCGCAAGCCUGAUCCAGCCAUGCCGCGUGUGUGAAGAAGGCCUUCGGGUUGUAAAGCACUUUCAGUAAGGAGGAAGCGUUGAGUGUUAAUAGUACUCAGCGUUGACGUUACUUACAGAAGAAGCACCGGCUAACUCUGUGCCAGCCGCCGCCGUAACAC
rnacentral:rRNA from 1 species